rnacentral:misc_RNA from 1 species
ACUCCUAUCCUAGACCCUCCAUGUAAUUGAAAAAAGUUUCAUGGGGAUUGUAUUUGUUCAAACCUCACAGUUCACACGCAAAAUUUUGGAGGCUGCGAGACGCCAAGACAUCUCUCCUGCAAUAGACGGACAAAGCUAACUUUGUACCAUCUCCGCGGUUGGCCGCACCUUAUCCACACGCACGUCUUCUGAUUUUGAUAACACCCACAUACCCAAAGCCCCCUAAAAACCAAAGCCAAGAAAAAACCACGUACAAGAAUCCUACAGACUUAAGAUAAGAUUUGGAGAGAGAAACAGGAGAGAAAGAGGAAGAUGUCAGUGGCAUCCUCAAUUCCAUGCAUCAGAAUCCCUAACCCAUCAUCAUCAUGCUCCUCUCCUUCAUCUUCCUCUUCAUCAGCAACCUCCUCCACUUCCUCUUGUUUUAGAUUUUCCACAACUGUAAAGCCUUGUGCUGUGACCAUCAGGAGCUCUCAAGCUG